rnacentral:rRNA from 1 species
ACACAUGCAGUCGAACGGUAACAGGAAGCAGCUUGCUGCUUUGCUGACGAGUGGCGGACGGGUGAGUAAUGUCUGGGAAACUGCCCGAUGGAGGGGGAUAACUACUGGAAACGGUAGCUAAUACCGCAUAACGUCGCAAGACCAAAGAGGGGGACCUUCGGGCCUCUUGCCAUCGGAUGUGCCCAGAUGGGAUUAGCUUGUUGGUGAGGUAACGGCUCACCAAGGCGACGAUCCCUAGCUGGUCUGAGAGGAUGACCAGCCACACUGGAACUGAGACACGGUCCAGACUCCUACGGGAGGCAGCAGUGGGGAAUAUUGCACAAUGGGCGCAAGCCUGAUGCAGCCAUGCCGCGUGUAUGAAGAAGGCCUUCGGGUUGUAAAGUACUUUCAGCGGGGAGGAAGGUGUUGUGGUUAAUAACCGCAGCAAUUGACGUUACCCGCAGAAGAAGCACCGGCUAACUCCGUGCCAGCAGCCGCGGUAAUACGGAGGGUGCAAGCGUUAAUCGGAAUUACUGGGCGUAAAGCGCACGCAGGCGGUCUGUCAAGUCGGAUGUGAAAUCCCCGGGCUCAACCUGGGAACUGCAUUCGAAACUGGCAGGCUUGAGUCUCGUAGAGGGGGGUAGAAUUCCAGGUGUAGCGGUGAAAUGCGUAGAGAUCUGGAGGAAUACCGGUGGCGAAGGCGGCCCCCUGGACGAAGACUGACGCUCAGGUGCGAAAGCGUGGGGAGCAAACAGGAUUAGAUACCCUGGUAGUCCACGCCGUAAACGAUGUCUAUUUGGAGGUUGUUCCCUUGAGGAGUGGCUUCCGGAGCUAACGCGUUAAAUAGACCGCCUGGGGAGUACGGCCGCAAGGUUAAAACUCAAAUGAAUUGACGGGGGCCCGCACAAGCGGUGGAGCAUGUGGUUUAAUUCGAUGCAACGCGAAGAACCUUACCUGGUCUUGACAUCCACAGAACCUUGUAGAGAUACGAGGGUGCCUUCGGGAACUGUGAGACAGGUGCUGCAUGGCUGUCGUCAGCUCGUGUUGUGAAAUGUUGGGUUAAGUCCCGCAACGAGCGCAACCCUUAUCCUUUGUUGCCAGCGGUCCGGCCGGGAACUCAAAGGAGACUGCCAGUGAUAAACUGGAGGAAGGUGGGGAUGACGUCAAGUCAUCAUGGCCCUUACGACCAGGGCUACACACGUGCUACAAUGGCAUAUACAAAGAGAAGCGACCUCGCGAGAGUAAGCGGACCUCAUAAAGUAUGUCGUAGUCCGGAUUGGAGUCUGCAACUCGACUCCAUGAAGUCGGAAUCGCUAGUAAUCGUGGAUCAGAAUGCCACGGUGAAUACGUUCCCGGGCCUUGUACACACCGCCCGUCACACCAUGGGAGUGGGUUGCAAAAGAAGUAGGUAGCUUAACCUUCGGGAGGGCGCU